CAAGGCUAGUUUAAUUACACAAAAACUUGCAGAGAUAGAAGAAUUCAAGAAAAGGGCAGAACAAGCUGAGAAACGAUCAGUUGAAUUGGAAGUUCAAGUCCAAUCUCAACAGCAGCUGAUGCAAAGGCUUGAGAAUCAACAAGCUGAAAUGCAAAACCAGCAGCUUGAAAUGCAGGAACUCCUUAAGGCUUUACGAGCAGAAUUGCAGUCCAAGAACCAAGGCAAUGGAAAUGCAUCUGGUAGUAAUAGCUGAUAAAUGCUAUUCAUACUAGCUUUUGGAAGAUAUCUACGGUUAUGGUUGAAGAAUGUUGAAGACAAAAUUGCCUUUUGCUCAUGGAGUGGUUCAUUUAGAUGUUCUUCAAUUUCUUAAAUUGUGAUUGCUUUUGUAAAUGUACCUUAUGUACAAGUGAUAUUUUGGACAAAUGUUAUUUUUGUAGGCAUUAGUUGAGUAAUGUACACUUGAAUUUGGCAUUUGAGAAUGCUAUAUUAUUACCAUGUAAUCUAAUGCAAAUACUUUUGGUUA